rnacentral:lncRNA from 1 species
GUUCAAGCAGGAUCAAUUCAUCUCACCUGCCUUCAGGGGCUCAAGCUCAGUAUACAAGACUACCAACAUCUUAGAUUCCCGAGCUACAAAGAGCAACGUAUCCAACUUCUUUACAAUGCAGAGUCCUUCCUUCAUGCCGAAGUAUGUGUAGUAGAUGUAAAAAGCUCUCUGGAAUACUUCUUAAGAGGAUAAAGACACAUCCAUUGUCAUGAAAUCUAUGAUUGGUGGACAGCAGUUUCCUACAUGAAUAAUGAAAUAAUGGCAGGAAGGUGUAUGGUCUUAAAUUCUACGUGCUACCUGCUGAAAACAGAAAUGAGCUUAGGUAUUUCUCUACAGAUCUUUUCAAUAAGAGUCUUUCUUUGGUCUUGUGCCCUUCGAAGUGCCAGCUGA